CAUGUCAUGGGUAUGCUUGUAGUUGUUAAGGCCUGGGGAGUUUUUCAGGAUAAAAAGAAACAGAAUGGAGCUAAGCACAGGCAAAAUCCUAGAGGAAAACCUUGUUCAGUCUGCUUUCCACCAGACACUGGGAGAUUAAUUCACCUUUCAACAGGACAAUAACCUAAAACACAAGGUCAAACCUACACUGGAGUUGCUUACCAACAAGACAGUGAAUGUUCCUGAGUGGCCGAGUUACAGUUUUGAUUUAAAUCUACUUGAAGAUCUAAGGCAACACCUCAAAAUGGUUGUCGAGCAAUGAUCAACAAACAAUUUCACAAAGCUUGAAGAAUUUUAAAAAAGAAUAAUGGUCAAAUGUUGCACAAUCCAGGUGUGUAAAGCUCUUAGAGACUCACCCAGAAAGACUCACAGCUCUUAGAGACUCACCCAGAAAGACUCACAGCUCUUAGAGACUCACCCAGAAAGACUCACAGCUUUAAUCGCUGCCGAAGGUGCUUCUACAAAGUAUUGACUUAGGGGUGUGAAUACUUAUGUAAGGGAAGACCCCCAUGAAAUGGGCAAGAAUGAAUGUCAACUUAUUGGCAUUGGGCGAACCAUGUACACAAUCACAAAUACCACUCAAAUGGAUGGCAGUUCAUCAAAACCAUAUUGCAACCGGAACAUUACAAAUGCCAAGUGUAAGAAACCGGAAAUCCCACAGGGGGGCGCGAGCAGGCAACUGUCCAUGUUCAUAUGGGAAAUGGUCUCAGUCAGGUCCCACGGGUGAGAUUUUGAAAAUCAGAAAUUUUGUUAAUUUUAAAACCUCAUAAAAAGUGUUUUUUUUGACCAUUCAUAAAUAAUAAUAAAAAAUUAUACAUAUGUAGUAUUAUUUGCAUGGCAUGUUCAAUGGAAACAAAGUUUACAUCCUCUGAUGUGUUUUGGCUGCAUGGCCUUUAUCAGGGAGUACAAAGAUAUGAUAAUGCAAUGUCCUCUUUUGAACAGCUUUUUCCAAAUCAGCCCUCAUUAGAAGUGGGUGGUUACAACAUUGAUUGGACAACACCUAGUAAGCAAUACGAUACACAUUAAAGGGUGAAAUACUGUAGAUAUGUUAUCGAAAAAAACAUCUCAAGGCGAGAAGCAUCAGAAUGCCUAGAAAGGUAGUUCUAACCUUGAAUAUGACUGGGCAAAGUGGUAAGACUAGGAGAGACAUCUAUUCCAUAGUACACUAGAACACAGCAAACAAGGACAGCAGUCUAAACUUAGCUGAGGGCAAAUAUCCACUAGAUGACAGCAAUGGGACCUCUCACAACCCUACAGGAAAGGAGAGAAAUUAAAAUCUUGAUUUAUUUUAUUUAACCAGGCAAACCAGUUAAGAACAAAUUCUUAUUUACAAUGACGACCUAGGAACAGUUGGUUAACUGCCUUGUUCAGGGGCAGAACGGCAGAUUUGUACCUUGUCAGCUCGGGGAUUCGAUCUAGCAACCUUUCGGUUACUGGCCUAACGCUCUAACCACCAGGCUACCUGCCGCCCCAAUUAUUUAAACCAGGGUUAUUAGUGGCCUGGUUUGACUGUUUAAGACGUCUUUUCUAAUAGAAGCCGGAAUAUGAUCAAUACCCGUAGCUUGUAGGGAGGCAGGGUUGCCACGGGGUAAGAACUUGUAGUGCCUUGCCAUGAGGUAAGGACUUGUAGUGUCUUGCCAUGGGGUAAGGACUUGUAGUGCCUUGCCAUGGGGUAAGGACUUGUAGUGCCUUGCCAUGAGGUAAGGACUUGUAGUGCCUUGCCAUGAGGUAAGGACUUGUAGUGCCUUGCCAUGAGGUAAGGACUUGUAGUGCCUUGCCAUGAGGUAAGGACUUGUAGUGCCUUGCCAUGAGGUAAGGACUUGUAGUGCCUUGCCAUGAGGUAAGGACUUGUAGUGCCUUGCCAUGGGGUAAGGACUUGUAGUGCCUUGCCAUGGGGAAAGGACUUGUAGUGCCUUGCCAUGAGGUAAGGACUUGUAGUGCCUUGCCAUGAGGUAAGGACUUGUAGUGCCUUGCCAUGAGGUAAGGACUUGUAGUGCCUUGCCAUGAGGUAAGGACUUGUAGUGCCUUGCCAUGGGGUAGUCUUCAUUACCUACCCGUAUGGCGUACUAGGAAAAACUCCCUAGAAAGGCCAAAACCUAGGAAGAAACCUAGAGAGGAACCAGGCUAUGUGGGGUGGCUGUGCCGGGUGGAGAUUAUAACAGAACAUGGCCAAGAUGUUCAAAUGUUCAUAAAUGACCAGCAGGGUCAAAUAAUAAUAAUCACAGUGGUUGUAGAGGGUGCAACAGGUCAGCACCUCGGGAGUAAAUGUCAGUUGGCUUUUCAUAGCCGAUCAUUCAGAGUAUCUCUACCACUCCUGCUGUCUCUAGAGAGUUGAAAACAGCAGGUCUGGGACAGGUAGCACGUCCAGUGACCAGGUCAGCACCUCAGGAGUAAAUGUCAGUUGGCUUUUCAUCACCGAUCAUUAAGAGUUGCCAACACCUGUCUUGUUUCAGAUAUGAUUCUGUUUUGAUGUCCUGUGCAUCUAUCGCUUCUUGAGACUUGCUUUCAAUGAGAAUGACAGAUCUACUGUUUAACUCACAUUUCGGUGUGAAUUUGGUCGGGUCACCCAAAAAGUAACAUAUUGCAGCUUCAAGACGAAAAGCAUAUUUUUUUUCAAUAACUUUGUACAAUUACAACCAUUCGCAUACGUCGAUUACGUCGCAUACGUGAUUAGCCAUUCGCAUACGUCGAUUAACGGACAGUCUAUAUCCGGGUUGCAUCCUAGGUUAACGAUACAUAAAAUUGGAGAUUUCCGAAUUCCCAGUUGUUUUGAACGCGUAACUUUACUCAACAUAAAGGCAUUGCUUCUUGACUAAUACAUUUAUUUUGUUUUUUCUUCUAGGUAAAUUGUCGCACGUAUUGACAAAAACACUGACUUGUCAAAGUAGAUUCACAUGCAGGACGUCGUAUGUUUUCUACUGCUGCGUUCAUGUCCUAGUCUGAAUUAAGAAACGUUGUCAUUUUCUUACUUGCUGACUUGGCACAUGUGUACAUACAAACAGUUAGCAGGAAGCAGUUGUUAUUCCACUAAAGUCUGAUCUGCACAACACGAAGCAGUGGUCGUUUAAAAUAUUGGUAAGUAUUUGAAUGACAGUAAUUCUAAGUUUCUUUAGUCGUAUUUAUGAGAGAUACUGCCACCGGAAUCUGGGCGUUGAAGAUGUCAACGCAGAAUAUGACUUGUCUUCUUUCUAAUGGCUAAUACACCCGAGUUGGAUGCCCGUUCAAAACGAUUUUCCAAGUCCGCAGAGCCCGAUUAUUAUGAUGGUUUUUCCUUUAUGCUUUUUUUCCACAGUUUCCAGUUGUCUUGCAAUACUCAAGUGGUUUCAGAGUUCAGUUAUUUUGAACACCGCACAAUGCCCAAGAAGCACCGAUUAGACGGCGCUGCACGCGUUAUAGUGUCACAAUACUUUACUUAUUCACCAAAUAUGGAGUUUCGCCGAACAACUGUCUUGAUUUACUCUCGUUAUGUACUUCCAAAAACAUUUACAGGCCUUUUUUGCACUUCCAAUGUAUUGAGCUCUUAUAGACUUCCGACCUGUGCGUGUCAGUAAUCAGUGGUAAAUUAGAGGUGACGAAUAGGCUUUUUUUCCCGGAAGUUCGUAACGGGAGUAAAUGAAGAUAGUUGUUCAGCGAAACUCCAGAUGUUUGUGAAUAACAAAUGCAUUUUUACAUUAUAACGCUUGCCGAGCUAUCGAACGGAGUCCGAGCUUCCUUGGCAUUACGGCAGCGUAGCCUAGUGGUUAGAGUGUUGGACUAGUAACCAGCAGGUAGCCUAGUGGUUAGAGUGUUGGACUAGUAACCAGCAGGUAGUCUAGUGGUUAGAGUGUUGGACUAGUAACCAGCAGGUAGCCUAGUGGUUAGAGCGUUGGACUAGUAACCAGCAGGUAGCCUAGUGGUUAGAGCGUUGGACUAGUAACCAGCAGGUAGCCUAGUGGUUAGAGCGUUGGACUAGUAACCAGCAGGUAGCCUAGUGGUUAGAGCGUUGGACUAGUAACCAGCAGGUAGCAUAGUGGUUAGAGCGUUGGACUAGUAACCAGCAGGUAGCCUAGUGGUUAGAGCGUUGGACUAGUAACCAGCAGGUAGCAUAGUGGUUAGAGCGUUGGACUAGUAACCAGCAGGUAGCCUAGUGGUUAGAGCGUUGGACUAGUAACCAGCAGGUAGCCUAGUGGUUAGAGCGUUGGACUAGUAACCAGCAGGUAGCCUAGUGGUUAGAGCGUUGGACUAGUAACCAGCAGGUAGCCUAGUGGUUAGAGCGUUGGACUAGUAACCAGCAGGUAGCCUAGUGGUUAGAGCUUUGGACUAGUAACCAGCAGGUAGCCUAGUGGUUAGAGCGUUGGACUAGUAAACAGCAGGUAGCCUAGUGGUUAGAGCGUUGGACUAGUAACCAGCAGGUAGCCUAGUGGUUAGAGCGUUGGACUAGUAACCAGCAGGUAGCCUAGUGGUUAGAGUGUUGGACUAGUAACCAGCAGGUAGCAUAGUGGUUAGAGUGUUGGACUAGUAACCAGCAGGUAGCCUAGUGGUUAGAGCGUUGGACUAGUAACCAGCAGGUAGCCUAGUGGUUAGAGCGUUGGACUAGUAACCAGCAGGUAGCCUAGUGGUUAGAGCGUUGGACUAGUAACCAGCAGGUAGCCUAGUGGUUAGAGCGUUGGACUAGUAACCAGCAGGGAGCCUAGUGGUUAGAGCGUUGGACUAGUAACCAGCAGGUAGCCUAGUGGUUAGAGUGUUGGACUAGUAACCAGCAGGGAGCCUAGUGGUUAGAGCGUUGGACUAGUAACCAGCAGGGAGCCUAGUGGUUAGAGCGUUGGACUAGUAACCAGCAGGUAGCCUAGUGGUUAGAGUGUUGGACUAGUAACCAGCAGGGAGCCUAGUGGUUAGAGCGUUGGACUAGUAACCAGCAGGUAGCAUAGUGGUUAGAGCGUUGUACUAGUAACCAGCAGGUAGCCUAGUGGUUAGAGCGUUGGACUAGUAACCAGCAGGUAGCCUAGUGGUUAGAGUGUUGGACUAGUAACCAGCAGGUAGCAUAGUGGUUAGAGCGUUGGACUAGUAACCAGCAGGUAGCAUAGUGGUUAGAGCGUUGGACUAGUAACCAGCAGGGAGCCUAGUGGUUAGAGCGUUGGACUAGUAACCAGCAGGGAGCCUAGUGGUUAGAGCGUUGGACUAGUAACCAGCAGGUAGCAGUGGUUAGAGCGUUGGACUAGUAACCAGCAGGUAGCCUAGUGGUUAGAGCGUUGGACUAGUAACCAGCAGGUAGCCUAGUGGUUAGAGCGUUGGACUAGUAACCAGCAGGUAGCCUAGUGGUUAGAGCGUUGGACCAGUAACCAGCAGGUAGCCUAGUGGUUAGAGCGUUGGACUAGUAACCAGCAGGUAGCCUAGUGGUUAGAGCGUUGGACUAGUAACCAGCAGGUAGCAUAGUGGUUAGAGCGUUGGACUAGUAACCAGCAGGUAGCCUAGUGGUUAGAGCGUUGGACUAGUAACCAGCAGGUAGCA